rnacentral:lncRNA from 1 species
GGGAUUCCUCUGGCAGAAGUUGUUGUGUAAAACUAAAGGUUUAUUCACUAACUAAAUCAUACUUCAAAUGUUCAGUAAUUAUUUCCUGAGCCAUUCAGUAAAGAAAUUCAACAGGAAAUUGGCUACCAGUGCAUUCAGACUGAAUUUUUAUUCCUCUUUGGAAAACGUUGUCAUAUUACAAACACUGAGGAUAAUGAAUGUGGCUCUGAGUUUGACUUUUCAAAAUCCAAAAUGAAAAGAUAGACCACAAAGUGAGAAAAACCCUUGCUCAUCAUGCAAAUGGACAGAGGGGAAGAAGGGAAAAGUCAGACCCAAGAGGAGUUUGUGAUAUAUUUGUGAAAUUAGACUUUCCUUACAAAAGGUCUCUUGCACCAUUUUAAGUAUUGCUUUAAAAUGAAAUUCGAAGAUUCCAACUGAUGAGUAUGUCUUCUGUCCCUGAGCCACCAGAGAGGUGAUGUGAUGGAAUCACAGACGUGACUUAUGAGCAGUAAACAGACAAAUGUUUAUGUGGCAGACUGACUCUACGGUGUCCCAGUGAUCCCCAUCUCCAGAUUGUAACUUCCAUCUUGCAAGAUUCUCUCCCUUCCUUGCUCUGAAGAAGCAGUCACCAUGAUGGAAGGCCCAUGCUGCUGAGGACAGCCUCUGGGAACUGAGACAACACACAACCAGAAACUGGAGCCCUCCAGCAUACAACCUCAAGGAACUGAAUUCUGCAAACACUCGAGCCUUCAGAUGAGAACAUGAGCCUGUCUGAUGCCCUCACUGAGGACUUACAGAGACCCAGCCAAUUUACAACUGGACUCUUGACCCAUAGAAACUGUGAGAGAGUCAAUGCAUGCUCUUUUACGCCACUAAGUUUGUGGUAAUGCUGUCAUGCAGCAAAUGAAAUUAAUACAGCUUGAUUUUCAUAAUUGGGCAAAACAAUUUCGUAAAGUAGAGUAACUUUUAGCUUCAGUUGUAACAAAAAAAGACACAUUUUCUUAGUCUAAUUAAUAAAGUUGUAAUUUCCCUCUAAAUAAGCUUUACUUUUAUAUUCAAAAUACCACCUGUGGUAAUUUUAUGAUGCCAGUCAUUUUAUAUAAUAUACUUUUCCAUUUUGAAAUACACCAGGUAA